UAGAAAAGCAGAUAAGGUUCUUAGAGACGGUGUCUUCACUUCGACUUCUCAGGUAAAGCAGCUCCCUCCCCCCCAGGGAAGAGCCCACCAGGCCCUUACUGCUCAGCCCACACUUCAUGGUCAGCCCCACUCCUGGUUCUGACUGUCAAGGGGUCCCUAGGCCUGAACGCCUGCCUGCACUUUUGCAGUUCUCCAGUGCCUGGUGCUAACAGGGUUUCCAUUCUACUCUUAUUGAACUUUUAUCAUUAGAUUAAGAUAUAAGCUGUAACUAAUGGCCGAAAGCAAGAGAACUGAGACAGCGGCGAGAACCCCGCUGAGCGACUUCUCCUAUGCUCUUCCCAACAGUGUCACUAGGGUGGUUUUCUGCAUGCAGCUGGCAUUGUGCACUUCUUGCUGGAAGCACAUUUUGCACUGGAUGUGUGGUAAGAUAACAGACUGAGAGAAAGAGUCAAAACACUCAAGGCAUCUCUACCCUCUUUCCAGAGAGGAAAUCUGCAGCUUCUCCAAGGUCGGAUGAGGCAUCAGCAGAAGCAGCUUACCACGUCGUCUUCGUCCCAUGCACUGAUCUCAAAGGAAGGCAGCAGCUGCGUGGGAGAUAUGAAGGCCAUGAGAAAGGGAAGCGACAUUACCCUCACCUUUCUGGUGCGUCCCUCUCACCUCAGCUCUUCCGCUGCUCUGGCUUCCUCUGGCUUUCCCUCAACCUUCCGGGGAAGUUCUCAGCGUCCAAGGACGCUGAGCCCAGCAGCCAGUUUGUAAGUCAGUUCCUGGCAACAAUGCAUGCUACUUUAUGCGCUGCUUUAAGGGGGGACUUGGUAGAGUCUUCUUUGGCACGGGCCUUGAGAUCAAGGCCUUUCUGACAUUCACCAGCCAUCAGAGAAGCCUUGGAAUUCUCGACCAGCAGUAGGAUAAUAGGAAAAUUUACCACCGGAAAUUCCAAAACAACCAUAAGUAACCAGGUGACUUGUUUUGCCUAUUCUCACAGGGGUUCUGGGGCUUAAGCAUCUCCCUUGCGUGGAGGAGGCAGAACAUGUGAGGUUGGAACUGUCCUAAGGUAUCUGGGUUCCGAGUUGCUCCAACACAGACCGACACAUCUCCCUGUCAGGGACACGUGUGGAAUGGGGAUUUGCAGAGCCCGUCAUCAGUGUGUUCCAUGGUUAUGGGCUAAACAGCACAUCUUUCAUAACUUGAAAAGGCCUGUAUCCCGUGGGCUAGAGUGUGGUGUAGCCAAUAGCUUCAAGUAACUUGACUUGUCAAGAUGUGUAUUCAUGAUUCAUGACUCAUGAUUCACGAAAGAAUAUGCCAAAGUAUCACUGGGCCUGUUACAGACGGUCUUUCUUUGUGAGCAGGGAGGGAAAAGGGAUUAGACCGGGGGAGGUGUGAUCUGAACACUUUGUGCACAUGGGUGGAAUUCUCAAAGGACAGCAAGAAAAAGGUAAGAAAGUUGAAUGCAGUUGCUUCUACUGCUAGUGCGACAGUCUGACGGGGCUAAAUUAAUCUUCCCAACUUAGAGAUAUUUAUUGCAAAACCACAAGCUCAGACUGCUAGGAAAGGCAUGAUCCCUAUAAAGAAUUUUACUAGUCCCGAGUGGAACAUCCGUGGAUUAUAUUCAGGAAAGGCCACUUUUAUCAUUGUUCUUCUAGUUACUAAUGCAUAAUGUUUGGUAUAUUUGCAUAUUUGUAUGUGUGUGGGUACAUGCAUGUGUGUACCCUUGGAAUUCUCGACCUUGGUGCGUCUUUCCUCAGGUCCUACUCUCUGACCUGGAGCUCAUCAAUUAGGCUGGGCCGCCUGGCCAAUGAGCGCCAGAGACCUAUCCGCCUGUCUGCCCCAUAUAUAUCCCUGACUGGGAUAUGAGGUCAUGUCACAAUAGCUGGCUCUUUAUUUAUAUGCUGGGACUUGAACUCAGGUCCUCAGACAUGUAGAGCAGGCAUUCUGCCAACCCAGUUCUCUCUCUAGCCCCACCCGUGUAAUCUUUCUCAUGCUAUCUUAUAGAAUGAAAUGGUAGCGUGAAGAACAUAUGUAUUCGGAUUAUUUGGUAGUCUGCUCUGUGUUGAUAGGCAUACGAAGAUCGAUGUCCCACAGCAUAUAAUGGGGGAACGGAAGGCAAGGAAGAACAACUGGGUAGAUACUGGCCGUGGGGCUGCCGUGGGUGUGGCAUGCUCACUUAACUGGAACACAGGAUGAAGUGAGUUUGUGUUGGAGUAAAAAGAGAAGGAAGCCAAUUCUGGGUGUGGCAGAGCAGGUUUUAUUAUUUUGAACCCCACUGUUGAAACAAGCGUGGAUGUGCAGACUCUAAGUACUACAUGUAGGUUCCAAGGCUAUAAAGCGUGUGUUGAAGUCAGCCACGUUCCCUACAUACUCCACUACUCGUGUGUGUCCUUCCUCUGAAACACACGCUCUACGAAGGAGUCACCCAGCAUGCUCGCCCGCUUGAACCGUGUGGAUGAGUGGAUCUCAAGCAAAGAAAACACACGACAGGUUUUACCUCUCCGUGGGGCAGCUGGCCACAGCUGCAGAAACAUGCCAUCCCUCCCGCCCACCGCGGAUACCAGUGUGAAGGAAGAGACAUCGAGAUACUACCACAGAAGGAUUGUCCUGCAUUAAGGCUCGUCUCUACAGGAUGUGUGUCAGUGCCCGUGUGACUGUGAUGUGGGGUGUGUGGGGUGUUUUGACUUUUAUAUAAUUUCCAAAUGUGCUAACAAGACUGAGGAAUAACUAUUUCUUGAUAAAGACUGUAAACAAAACAGCUGACAUCUUCAGUUUUAGUGUGCAAAGGACAGCGAAGUGCUCGCCGCUCCAGGGCUGGAUGUCAGCGUCAAGGCGCAGGAAGACCUAAGCCUUGCCUGCCAUGCCUUCCAGCAGGAGUCGACAGAGGCUUGCAAAGAUCAGUGAGAGGAGGGCUGGGACCAGGCGCCGCGGCAAGAAGGUUUGAAUUUGGCAAGACAGGGGCUAAGAGUUAACGAUCUCCAGCCACACAGAGGCUCGCGUCUCCUUCAUGUUCCCUGUGCCUUGUUAACAUAUCAGCGCAUCUGCCGGGGAUGAGUUCUAAGCCUUUCUCUUUUCUUUGGGGAUAAAAAAAAAAAAAAUCCCUCACGACUGCCCCAUCACUUUAGUAAUUCACUAUUUAUACUCCAUCAGACUUGAGAAGAGAAGAGAUAGUGCUCGCGUGCAUGUGCGUGUGCGUGACACUGAUUUCCUCAAAGGAUGUUGGGAAUCCAGUCUAACAAAGAUCUUAUGUACACAGCGACACAGCACAGGGGUUUACUGUCAAAACGUUUAUUGCAAAAUGGAGUCUUAGAACAAAGGAAAGCAGAGAAAAGUUCACAUCAGAACGAAAUGUAUGACACCAACUUGGAUUUCUGAACACAUUGUGGACUCGGUGCUGGAAUAUCAAAUUCCAACUAUGAAGCCGGCAACUACACAGUCUGACCAAACAGGAUCGCAGUUUAAUCUCCCAUACAGACAUUAUACACAGCAUUUGGCAUAAGACUUGCUCAGAAUAACAUUGCAGUAGAGCGAAGGGGGGGGAAGAUUGUUAUGGAAACACAGCGGUGAUGCCGCCUAUUAAAAGCUCACACUCAAAAAGGGUAGAAACGUUCUCUAUAGCAGUUCCCUAGAGUGCAAAAGCAGUGUGUCAGGUCGGAAUUAAGAGUAUUCGCACACGCUGUAAACCAGUUGCCUAGUGCCCGAACUCUAGUUUGAAAUAGCUAACCACAUGCCAGAAAGUUUCUCACACAAGCAACACAGUGCCCACAAAGCUAGGGUCCGAGAAGACAGGGCCUGUCCCGAUUUCCUGAUAGACAUUCAUCUUUCAAUCACAGAAUGCCGCCGGGCUACCCUACAUCCAGCAGGGUGGAGCCUCUUGCGGCAGUGGGGAAGUCUACCCAGGAAAGCGGCCUUUCUCGAAAGCAGCAGACGGUGCCUGAUUAUAGAAAGAAUUAGGCUCUCCUGUGUGUCUGUGGUGUAGCGGGACUCGACGAGUUUCACAAGGCUGCCCCGGUCUAGUGUGGCAAAAUCGUUUUCAAAGUAUCCGUAUUUAACUCACUAGGUUUUAAAACCAUCUUUCAUCUUAACACGCUAAUGAAAAACUCAAGUUAUAUACAUGCACAGUAACUUGAAGGGAAAUGGGUCUGAGUCUCUGCUAAGUCCCUCCCUUCCUCUAGGCCCUUUGAUUUUAAUGGGGAUCAGGUGUGAAUACCUCAGCUGGUGUUUAAAGUCUAACUAAUUCAUUGCAUUUUGUUUUUAAAGUUACGGGUUGAAAAAAAACAAAACAAAAAACAAACCCAAAACAGUCCUCAGUAUUUUCAGAGCAUCAAAAGCAGUGUGCCCUGUGCCUUCAACCGUAUCCCACUGGUGAUUCAUGAAACAAUAAAAAUGUGCUUAAAAAAAAAAA